CUGCCGAAAGGGCCUGAGGCGGGGGACGCCCGGGUCCCAGGGCCCUGGGGAAGGACCCCCAGCCGCAGGCCGCCCCAAGUGCAAAGCAUUGACACGGCCCAGAGAGGAGAGGGGGCGCCCUCCUUCUCCCGCGCCCGGCGGCCCGGCAGCUCUGGCCCGCGCCCCAGCUUGGCCUCCGACCCCGCUCCCGGCCGUGGCGCCGCCCGGGCCCCUGCACUCCGGAGGGAGGCUGCGGGUGCUGGAAAGAGAGGCCGGUGGGCGGGCGAGUCGGGAGGCGCUGGCUGCCGAGGUCCCGGAGCGGAACCCAGGUGGCGGGAGCUGGUGAGAUUCUGGGAAUUGGAAGAACACAAACAAUCUGCCUUGGAUGACACAGAGAGCCAGGUUCAUACAGGUGAGAAGAGAAGAAUCAUUUUGCAGCUAGGCUAACGCUUCAGGAUGCUUGGCCUGCUUCUGAGGGUGGACAGGAAGUUUACACACAGCCCUCUGUCAUAGGAUUCCUACAGUAAGGCUCAGAAUACACUACAAGACAAACGGUAUCCUCGGAAACCUAACAACUCCUUGAAUGGAAAAACGUCA